rnacentral:rRNA from 1 species
AUGCAACAAGGAACCGAAACCCUCACUGAGCAAGAGGUCAAGACUGUAGAAUCUGAUUCUUCAUUUCCCCAAGUAUCAAUGGGAACAAGUGACGGGCAGAAUGACUCUAAUGCUACUGAGCAUGAUUCUUGCUCUGUUGGCUCCCGUAUUUAUCUUCCUGUUGCUGACAAAACACAAUCUCUUGAUGAACCUAUCAAAUCUGGCAGUAUGGAAAAUGUUAAACCAGCUGCUCCAGAGCCAAGCAUCAAGGCUGAAGUAAUCGACUUGACACAAGAAUGCAGGUCACCCCCGUUAGUUUCAGUGCCACCAACUGAUAUGCUCAACCUUGUGGCAACAACAAGUACAGUGCCUGUUGCUUUACAAUCUCCUGUUGAAACUAUCCAGCCUGUCAAGAUGGAAAAUGAUAAACCAGCCAUUCCAGAGCCAAGCACCGAGGCUGAAGUAAUGGACGUUGCAGAACCAAGUGCUGAGGCGGAAGUAGACGUUCCAGAGCCAAGCAUCAAGGCUGAAGGAAUGGACGUUGCAGAACCAAGCGCUGAGGCUGAAGUAGACGUUCCAGAGCCAAGCAUCGAGGAUGAAGUAAUGAACUCAACUCCAGAACACACAUCUCUCCCCUUGGGCUCAAUGCCACCAACCAAUACUUCCAACCUUGCGGCGAAAGCAACUGCAGUGCCUGUUGAUUCUGCCCGAUGCAGUUACUCGAUGUCAACUAACCGAAUCCAGAUCUACCCAUGCCGUCCUGACCUGAAAUUACCAGCGGGGGCGACCGUGCUUCCCUUUAGUGACGACAAGUGGGUGGCCGUGAGCUUGCCUUUACCUUGA